AGAGGAACAAUGCAGUACUUACUCAGGAUUUAAACUGAGGGCUGAAGCAAGGACAAGACUCUUGGUUUUGGAGAGAAUCACUGACAGUGUUGAAAUCCAGAAAAUCCAGUUUAAGCACGAGACACUCUUCUCUGGAUAAUUUGAACUGGAACUCGGACUAAAAAUAGACAGUCCAGUCACCAACCCAGUGAGGGGCAGCAGCUCAGGAAUGCACUGUCAUGGCAGAUGGAGAAUCAGUCAUUGUGGGAAGUGAAACAGGCAUGCAAAAGGCUUUGGAACUGAUACAGCGACAUCUGAUUCCAUGGGGCAGCCUUUCAAAAGUACGCAUUUCAGCAAUCAGCUGCUAGAAGACUGCGCACAGUGGCUAGCAGCACUACUUGAGGACAGUAAAAAAAUCCUAAAGCUACAAGCAUUUUCUGUUGUUUUGCACACUGGAGGAAGUACAUACGCAAUGCUGAGUCAAAAGCAAAAAUGCAGACUCAUGGCUGACUAAGGGACCUUAUGGAAUAUGUUCAGUGCUUCAAAUGAAGAUUUAAGACCAGACUCUUGCUAAAGAAUUCUUGCUAAAGGUUAGGUCCCCACGACUCACCGUGUCAUCCACCAAAGAGGCAUUUAGAAAUUUCAGGGGAAUGACAUCCUCUUUGAUACUUUCUUGAUUCCUGCAGUAUUUUAGUGUAACUGCCAUAAUAUAUGUACACUGAGGGAUGUGGACACCCUUAAAAUGCCUCAACAUUCACUCCAAUAAUAAAGUAAACUGCGAAAUGUAAGUAAAGCAGUCAUUAUGCUCAUCUUCUUCCCUAGUAACCAAGAGAACCUUCUGGUGUUAGAUUAUUUAACUACCUUUUAGAUGCUCUUGAGGUAUCUCUAUGAACUUUAAAGAAAGCUUGUCCACAGGAUUGCCAAGAAGAAACUGCGAUAAGUCUCUAAGCUGUCAAGUAUUACUGUAUAACUUCCAGAGACAUCCAUGCCCCCUUUUCUGACAACUACCAUGCCCUGAGCACAGGCAGGCAAACAUGUGCUAAGUAAUUCUGUACCUGUUCCAUUGUUGAUGGAGCAAAAGUCAACACCUGCCCAAAUUCAUUCCCAGAAGCCUGCCACUGGGGCAGAAAGCACAGUACUCUUACAGGCUGUCACUUGGGAGGAGGAGCCGCUGUGCCCUACAAUGCGCAGAGAGGAGCAGAGAGCCUCUUAUCCAGUUGCAUUCCUGUAGUUACACUCCUGCAGGACCUCAGUACACCAAACUGAUGGCAGCUGAGCUACCCGGCCUGCAAUAGGGACAGCAUCUCCUGGGGCCCUCCAUGGAACACAGUGCUUCCCAGGAACUGCCAAAACCCCCUGAGCUGGCUCUCAGAACACAGUUCCCUGCGCAACAAGCAGUUUCACAUGAGCUCAUCGAAGGUGAUGGGAGACAGACAGGUGAAACCCUACUCCAGCCCAUGGCCAGAAGCUUGGGCAUGUGGAGUCGUGUUCAGCGGCCAAUGCCUCAACGCAGAGAGCUCCCUAGAGGACUGUGCAGUCCCAGACACAGGUGCAAGCAAGGGGCCAAGGUAAGUUAUGGCCAGUGCUCAGCAACUGAACAGAGUCCUCCCAGACAGCACCCCCACAGCCCAUGAGUCAGCAGGCCCCAAGAUGGAAUAAGCUGCUUUUUACUUUGAGUUUGGUUUAAAGAGGAAAUGAAUGACGCAGCCACUGGAGGUGGAGAGGUUCCGGGCGGCCCUGGCAACAAGGCCCAGGCCCCCACAGCCCAGCUGGCCUUCCUUUUGGGGUUAACCAUGAUCCUUAUUUGACCACACAUGAAAAGAAAGAGACAAAGAAAAAAACUCUACGUAAAGACUAAAACAAAGGAAAUUGGGAUCUGAAAUAAGGAAAAAAUCUGUAUCUAGAGAGAUAAUCACUCUUCAAAGUAAAACUCCAGGGUUCAGAUACUGUCUGAGGAGUCAUUAAACGGCAACAAUGAGUCCCACAAACAUGCAGGCUUUGCAUCUAUCUGCACGACUGUGUGAUAGGGUCUACCAUCACUUCACAUUAAAGAAUACCUCCUUCACAAUCAUGAACCUUUGAGGAAGUGCUUAACAAGUCCUCUUUUACUUGACAACUUGCAAUGCAGCCGGACCAGCAGACCAACCCCAAGAUUUUAAAAAAGAAAUGAGAACUAAACUGCUUCAUGAAAUACUCUGGCAGAAAAAUGUCAAUCAGAAUGAUUACUAUUUAUUAUUGAUGAUGAGUAUUAUUGAUAAUGUCUACUGUUUAUUAAACUGGUUACCUGGCACUGUGCUAAAUACUUUAUACAUCAUUUCAUUUAACCCUCACAAUAACAGAUGAUAAAAUACUGCAAUUAGCAUACGAGGUGCUGAUGCCAUGGAUUCAGGGAACACCCACUGAGAAUCAGGCUUUAGAGACUGUUCUUUCUUUUCUGCUACUCCCCUUAGGUGCUGAGCUUCCUGACAGAAGGGGUUCAACCAUCAUAGGUGGGAGUGGAAGUGCAUGGGCCCAGCUCACUUAUCAGGCCUGGCCCACAGGCUGAGCGCUACUGCCUAAAAUAGCUGGACUGAAUGCUGGCCGCUUCACAAGAGCUUCCAGUGAUACAAAGAGCCUGCUGCACAUGUGCUAGUGGUUUCACCACUGCUCUAGGUGAAAGUACCUUAAAAGCUACGUAACUCACCAGUCUACAGACCGAAAUGCACUUCCAAACUACUUAAAUUAUUUUAAGCUGCUUUCUUAAAAGCAACAAUGUUCUGAGCAUAAUGUCUAACACCAAAACAGAAAAACAAAUUUGUCUUGCUUAAUCUCUUGGUCUCAGAGAAAAAUUUAUCACCUAUAAAACAUGAUUAAACACAGGAAUAAUUUUAUAUUAAACAGCCAAGCAAAAACCCUCAAUUCAUGUCUGUAACUGCUAUUGUCUUUAAAAGGGUCUUUCAAGUAAUAAACAAGAGAAGGGGGAAAGUGCUGACAUUUUCUA